rnacentral:rRNA from 1 species
CACACCAAUCAUUAUAUUGUCUUAGUCUAGGUACCGUUCCAAGAGUCUCGUAUCUCGCGGUACAGACGAUGAGGAACACAAAGAAGAGGUGAGUAGAGACGCUAACGUCGACAGCGUUCCCGAGCUUGUUUCUGCCCAUAUGUAGCAGAUGGAACCCGUCUCCGUUGUACUUCUACAGUCAGAGCAGUGGAGAAACGUGGUGCUGAACGAGCGAAGGCAAGAGCCUUCGUUCCUCCGCCGAGAGCUUAGCUAACAGGUGUCGAUGUCUAUACCAAAGAGCCCGAAAAGACGUUACGAAUGACUUAGUGUUCGCUCUUUCUAGGUCUGCGACGGACCUCACCACUCACACUUUCUCUUGUGUUACCAUGCGUACGUAUGAUGAGCCUCGACCCUAAAGGAACCCGACAGGUACCCGCACCUGUAGUUCGUCCUCGUCGUCGGUUUACUCGAGGAACGUCGUCGUUUGGUACCUCUACCCUACUAUUAGCCACAGUAGCUGAGUCCACAAACCGGACUCAGUGUCUCGAAGCGACUACUACCGAUACCUGGAGGAGGAAGUUUUACCUUCCCUUGAACGGUUCGGCCACGGUUGAAGUCACGGGUGCUAACGUUAGCUUUCGAGUAGCCACGCGCCACCAUACGACCGCGACUGUAGCUGUCCUCUAGAGAGGUUUCACUGAAGGACAGACGGUCCCUAAGAGUACCGGUGCCGUGGGUGUGUCGGAGGUGUCGGCCACCGUUGCAGCAGGUGUUGUGGUCGAAGAAGCCUGACCGACGACCUUGCCGAGCACCACCGCGUGGAGCGCGGGCCUAUCGUCACAUGUUCCGAACGACCCCAAGAACGAGAUAGCGCUCGCAAGACUUUCCGUAGCUAGUACGAUAGGUACUGCCACAACUGCAGGAUAGCGAGAGAGAGCCUUCGUGCUUGCUUUACCGUCGUGAUCCUUGCGACCCACGCCACCGUUCUCCGUAGGGCCAAUAGUACCGUCCGCCUUUACUACCUGGAUGUCUUCUUUGCCACCUCUUAAGAAGUGGUACCGAUGAGUGCCAACGACGUUGGUGCCAACUAGCUAGUAAGGAGUGCCAAUAGUGGGAGCCCCUAUUGGCUGUCAAACACCGUGUUAGGUACAUACACCGUCUAUUUCCACCUCUACUCAAGAGACUUGAAGACAUAAUGAAAUUCCUAUCCACACUGGGCCUGAUGUAUUUGUCGUGACUGUAUGUGCCCUUCCACCAUAAGACGAUGUGUGGUCCUGGCCCAUCACAGAGACGUGGUGGGUUCAUACGUCUAUAACGUCGCUGCCACGUCUCUUUACCUCCCUUCCCUAAAUAUAAGAGUGUCUUAUUAGACCUGAGAGAACUAGAUAUACGUUAAUUUCCUGGCCGGGAAGGAACGCAAGGAGAGCUAAAGUUCUGAUCGAUAGUUAGCGUAACCGUAGGGUUUUUAUUUCUAUAGAUGUUGGGCUUGUUAUCGUCGAAACCAUUUAUCGUCGAAAGAGUAGUUCCCCUGGAUCAGGAUAGAUAGGACCCCAAGAGUUCAACACGAGGGUUUACUUGUCGGACUAUAGCGACGUGGACCCCACAUGUAAAACCGGCGACGUCGUGUUUCACCACGAAUGUUUUCAGAUCCACAAAGGAUACAGAAACUAAGACCUUGCAGGUACCGGACGGGAGUAUAUAGACCCUAUCAGCGAGAUGAGUUUAGGCAAGUAGGACUGACCAGGGGACGGCGGGAUUUUAGUCGUGAUUACUGUUGGCGUGUAUGGUACCUGGCAUUACCCCAAGGUUAUCUUCGUUUACCUUUUGCACGUUUCUAGCGGCUGGGCAAACUAAUGCCUCGUCCCAGACAAUUAGGUUGGUUCCGUCGACUAGGUCCGGACUAUAUACUGUAAUCACGCAGUCUAAUGGAGCUCAAAAAGUUGACAGGUGUUCCUAAACCAAGUUUAUUGUUAACGUGUGGUGGACUGAACUUGGAGGGUAGCUAACGGUAAGGACCGGAGUUCUGUAGACACUGCCAACACGCGUGACAAUGGUUACAACCGGUCGGCUUACGCCACAUGUUCCGUAAGUACCUCGGAGGUGGACCGCAGUUCUACCGACACCUCGGUCGUCACGACCACAAGUCGUUGCGUUCCUCCCACGUCUCAAAGUUCCACUGAAAGUCC